CCUACGGGUGGCAGCAGUGAGGAAUAUUGGUCAAUGGGCUUACGCCUGAACCAGCCAAGUCGCGUGAGGGAAGACUGCCCUAUGGGUUGUAAACCUCUUUUGUCAGGGAGCAAUGGGCGCUACGUGUAGCGUUUUCCAUAGUACUUGUAGAAAAAGCAUCGGCUAACUCCGUCCCACCAGCCGCGGUAAUACGGAGGUUGCGAGCGUUAUCCGGUUUUAUUGGGUUUAAGGGGUGCUCGGGCGGAGGUGCAAGUCAGUGGUCAAGUUUGGGGGCUCACCCCCGUAUUGCCGUUGAGACUGGAACCCUUGAGUACACGAGAGGUAUGCGGAAUGUGUGGUGUAGCGGUGAAAUGCAUAGAUAUCACGAAGAACUCCGAUUGCGAAGGCAGCAUGCCGGCGCGCAACUGACGCUCAUGCACGAAAGCGUGGGUAUCGAACAGGAUUAGAUACCCUUGUAGUC
rnacentral:rRNA from 1 species